rnacentral:rRNA from 1 species
GAUGAACGCUGGCGGCGUGCUUAACACAUGCAAGUCGAACGGGAAUUACUUUAUUGAAACUUCGGUCGAUUUAAUUUAAUUCUAGUGGCGGACGGGUGAGUAACGCGUGGGUAACCUGCCUUAUACAGGGGGAUAACAGUCAGAAAUGGCUGCUAAUACCGCAUAAGCGCACAGAGUUGCAUGGCUCAGUGUGAAAAACUCCGGUGGUAUAAGAUGGACCCGCGUUGGAUUAGCUUGUUGGUGGGGUAACGGCCCCCCAAGGCGACGAUCCAUAGCCGGCCUGAGAGGGGUGAACGGCCACAUUGGGACUGAGACCCGGCCCAGACUCCUACGGGAGGCAGCAGUGGGGAAUAUUGCACAAUGGGGGAAACCCUGAUGCAGCGACGCCGCGUGAAGGAAGAAGUAUCUCGGUAUGUAAACUUUUAUCAGCAGGGAAGAUAGUGACGGUACCUGACUAAGAAGCCCCGGCUAACUACGUG